UCCCUCCCUGAGCAGGGGCAUUUCCAGCCCCAGGGAAGGGUUCUGCCCCCAAAACUCGGCCUCUCUUCACCCUGGUGCUGAACAUCAGCCACUGCAAGAGAGCAAAUUCCCUUCCUGCCUCAGUUUCCCCUGAUUUCUGGGCUGGGGUUCCUGGGAGGAGCAGCUCCUCUGCCCUUCCCAGAUGAUUUUACAGUCGGAGCCUGGAGGAAAAUGAACAUUUAUUGGCCGUAAAGCACUCAGGGAAUUUUCACCCCGAUUUCUUGGAGUGAAGAUGCUCAGCCCUGGCAUUUCCCAUUCCCUAAAAGAAAAAGGAAAAAAAUAUUGUAAAGAGCAGUGUGGGAACUUCAGGCUGAAGGGAUUGGGAUUGCUCAGCCUGGAGAGGAGAGGAGGCUCCAAGGCGACCUCGUGGUGCCCUUCCAGGACCUGAAGGAGCCGCAGGGAACAUGGAGAGGGAAUAUUCCCAAGGGAUGGAGCUGCAGGAGGAGAGGGAACGGCUCCCACUGAACGAAAGGAUCUGUAGGGAGCUUUCCCUCUGGUGCCAUUGCAGAUUGAGCAGCCAGACCCACCAAAAUCCUCUGGAAUCACAAAAGAUCCUUUUUGGAUACUAGCUCCAAGUUGAUUUUUCUGCUGACUCCAGGAGCCGAAACCUGGAUGAAAACCACUCCAGGAUGGGAAAAGCUCUGCAGAAAUGAGGCUCAGCAGCAGCGGGCUCGCCCUGAAAACUCAAUCUUCCCCAGAUCAGGGGCAGGGAAGGAGCCAGCAGCUCUGAAGGAGCUCACCAAAGUGCUCUCAUUUAUUCUUAUUACCAAGCCUUGCAUGCCAGCUUCCCUGGAAAGCUCUUCUGGAAAAAUAUCCAGAAGGAAAUUAGAUUUAAAAAAAAAUCCA